AUGGAACACGUUGAGAAUCCUGUUGAGGGUAACAAUGGAACUCCUAUGAGGAGUAAGAGACAGAGGACUGCAAAGUCUUUUGGUGAUGAUUUCAUUGUGUACCUCGUGGAUGACACACCCAGGACUAUUUCAGAAGCCUAUGCAUCUCCUGAUGCUGACUACUGGAAGGAAGCUGUACGUAGCGAGAUGGAUUCCAUCUUAGCUAACGGUACCUGGGAGAUCACUGGCCGUCCUUAUGGGUGCAAACCUGUAGGAUGUAAGUGGGUGUUCAAGAAGAAGCUUAGACCUGAUGGUACGAUUGAAAAGUACAAGGCACGACUUGUGGCCAAGGGUUAUACCCAGAAAGAAGGUGAAGACUUCUUUGAUACUUACUCACCCGUGGCUAGACUGACAACAAUUCAGGUGCUACUAUCACUGGCUGCCUCACAUGGUCUUCUCGUUUAUCAAAUGGACGUUAAGACGGCUUUCCUCAAUGGAGAGUUGAAGGAAGAAAUUUACAUGGAUCAGCCAGAUGGUUUUGUAGUACCUGGUCAAGAAGGAAAGGUGUGCAAGUUAUUAAAGUCUUUAUAUGGCCUUAAACAAGCUCCUAAGGAGUGGCAUGAGAAGUUCGAAAGAACAUUAAUUGCUGUCAGCUUUGUAGUAAACGAUGGUGACAAGUGCGUGUACUAUCGCUAUGGUGGGGGCGAAGGAGUUAUUCUUUGUUUGUAUGUCGACGACAUAUUGAUCUUUGGAACCAAACUUGAUUUAAUCAAGGAGGUUAAGGAUUUCUUAUCUCGCUGUUUUGAGAUGAAGGAUGUAGGAGUAGCUGAUGUUAUCUUAAACAUCAAGCUGUUGAGAGAUGAGAAUGGUGGGAUCACACUGCUUCAGUCUCAUUAUGUGGAAAAGGUCUUGAGUCGUUUUGGGUAUAGCGACUGCACGCUUUCUCCAACUCCAUAUGAUGCUAGUGUGUUGCUUCGAAAGAAUCGACGGAUUGCUAGAGAUCAACUGAGGUAUUCUCAGAUUAUUGGCUCGCUUAUGUAUUUGGCAAUUGCCACGAGGCCUGACAUCUCUUUUGCUGUGAGCAAGCUGAGUCGGUUUGUGUCAAAACCGGGAGAUGAUCAUUGGCAUGCGCUUGAGAGAGUUAUGCGCUAUUUGAAAGGCACCGCAAGCUAUGGGAUUCUCUACACCGGGUAUCCAAGGGUACUGGAGGGUUAUAGUGACUCAAACUAG
rnacentral:rRNA from 1 species